rnacentral:rRNA from 1 species
UAAGCAUAUCAAUAAGCGGAGGAAAAGAAACCAACAGGGAUUGCCCCAGUAACGGCGAGUGAAGCGGCAGCAGCCCAGAUUUGAAAUCCGGCUUCGGCCCGAGUUGUAAUCUGCAGAGGAUGCUUCGGGGCGGGCGUCCCUCCGAGUCCCCUGGAACGGGGCGCCAGAGAGGGUGACAGCCCCGUACGGCCGGACGUGCCGCCCCGCGCGAAGCUCCCUCGAAGAGUCGAGUAGUUUGGGAAUGCUGCUCAAAGCGGGAGGUAAAUUCCUUCCAAGGCUAAAUACCGGCCGGAGACCGAUAGCGCACAAGUAGAGUGAUCGAAAGAUGAAAAGCACUUUGGAAAGAGGGUUAAACAGUACGUGAAAUUGCUGAGAGGGAAGCGCCUGCGGCCAGACUCGCGCCCUGCGGAUCAUCGGGUGCCUCGCGGCGCCCGUGCACUCCGCCGGGACGCGGGCCAGCAUCGGCUCGCGGCGGGGGACAAAAGCGGGGGGAACGUGGCCUCCCCCGGGAGGUGUUAUAGCCCCCCGCCCAAUGCCCCGCGGCGGGCCGAGGACCGCGCCGCUCCGGCGGCAAGGAUGCUGGCGUAAUGGCCGUCGGCGGCCCGUCUUGAAACACGGACCAAGGAGUCGAACGUCCGCGCGAGUGUUUGGGUGACCAAAGCCCUCACGCGCAGUGAAAGCGAACGCAGGUGGGAGCCUCGGCGCACCACCGACCGAUCCUGAAGUUCACGGAUGGAUUUGAGUAGGAGCGUGGCCGUUCGGACCCGAAAGAUGGUGAACUAAGCCUGCGUAGGGCGAAGCCAGAGGAAACUCUGGUGGAGGCCCGCAGCGGUUCUGACGUGCAAAUCGAUCGUCAAACGUGGGCUUGGGGGCGAAAGACCAAUCGAACCGUCUAGUAGCUGGUUUCCGCCGAAGUUUCCCUCAGGAUAGCAGUGCUGGUCUCAGUUUUAUGAGGUAAAGCGAAUGAUUAGGGGCUCGGGGGCGCUGAUUAGCCUUCACCCAUUCUCAAACUUUGAAUAUGUAAGAAGCCCUUGUCGCCUAGGCGGACGCGGGCCUUCGAAUGCAGCAGCACUAGUGGGCCGUUUUUGGUAAGCAGAACCGGCGAUGCGGGAUGAACCGAACGCGGGGUUAAGGUGCCGGAGUGGACGCUCAUCAGACACCNCAAAAGGUGUUAGCACAUCUUGACAGCAGGACGGUGGCCAUGGAAGUCGGAACCCGCUAAGGACUGUGUAACAACUCACCUGCCGAAUGUGCUAGCCCUGAAAAUGGAUGGCGCUCAAGCGUCCCACCCAUACCCCGCCCCCCACGGCAGGAGCGACGCCGGGGGGAGUAGGCGGAC